rnacentral:rRNA from 1 species
AUGACCAAAAAAGGCUGGGUUGCGGUGGCUCCUUCCGCUUGCUGCGACAUCUGCCCGGCCUUGGAAACAGUCCACCAUGUUAUGCUAAGAUGUCGGUCUGUCAACGCAAUCUGGGAUAGGUUCAUGUUGUGUACUCUCGCUUGCAACUCUCCGGAUAUCCGAUCUUUCGUCGCUCGGGCAGGUAGCCAGCUUCAUUUCAACAGACAAUGGCACAUUGCUUUUGCGGCGUCUGUUGUUGCUUUGUGGCACGCCAGGAAUGAUCGCACUUUCAAUAACAAAUGCUGGUGUGAGCCUCAGAUCAGAUUCUACGCUGCCAGCUUGAUCCGGCUAUGGGCCAAUAGAGCUUCUAAACAAGCAGUUAAGGCAGACAUGCGGACGUGGGCCAGGAUGCUUGAAGCUUAG